GCCUAGAAGUUGGUGUUUCUUUCGGAUCUAAAACCUUUAAUUUUAACCUGGGGAAGGGUAGUAGUGCUCAGAUAGUUUGACCGUGUAUUCGAUCUAUCAAAAGAAUUCAUCCAUCUGUACACCCUCAAAUUAGGUUCAACCACGUGUUAUCCUUCACGCACAUGUUGAAGUGUCGAAGAAGCUGAGAAAAGCUAAAAUCAGUGUUGGUUGAUUCUCAUCCACCAAUAAUUU
rnacentral:lncRNA from 1 species